rnacentral:rRNA from 1 species
GCGUGAGGGAGGAAGGCUCUUGGGUCGUAAACCUCUUUUCUCAGGGAAGAAGCAAUGACGGUACCUGAGGAAUCAGCAUCGGCUAACUCCGUGCCAGCAGCCGCGGUAAUACGGAGGAUGCAAGCGUUAUCCGGAAUGAUUGGGCGUAAAGCGUCCGCAGGUGGCACAUCAAGUCUGCUGUCAAAGCCCCCAGCUUAACUGGGAAGAGGCGGUGGAAACUGGUGAGCUAGAGAGCAAUAGGGGUAGAGGGAAUUCCCGGUGUAGCGGUGAAAUGCGUAGAGAUCGGGAAGAACACCAGUGGCGAAAGCGCUCUACUAGGUUGCAACUGACACUGAGGGACGAAAGCUAGGGGAGCGAAUGGGAUUAGAUACCCCAGUAGUC